UUAAUUAACGUGAUAUAAUAAAAAUCAUCUAAAUAUUAAUUAAUAAAAAAUGAAAGAAAGAUAGACGUUCUUCAACUCCACUAACGAUUUCUAUAAAUGUUAUAUUGAGAAACAAAUCUUUCUAUCGUAUUAUAAUAUAUCGUUCGUAUUAUAUAUAUCGAAAGAAGUUAACGGGAAUGAAUUCGAUCAACAAAUAAUUUAAGAAUUGAAGAUUGAAAAAUAAUAGAUCAAAGAGUUUAAAAAAAAGACCUUGGAAUUGGCUGUAGCGUUUUUUGGCUUCUUGCGACGGGAUUUCCGGGGUUUCGACACCGCCGUUUGACUACCCUCGUUUAUGCGAUCCACGGCUGAAGCGGUUUUCGUAUCUACAGGUCCAGGUCCUUUUAGUGAAAUCACGUCUUCGACGUUUCUGAUGAUUCUUAACUUCACGAAGACGCUUGCAUACGUAACUUUGAUUUUAAAGGUUUCUACUUAGCGAUUAAGAAUUUUCGGAUCGCGCUGAGGGAAAUCAAUCCUCGUAGAUGCCUAUAAAAACUUGUUCAGAGGAUAACGCGGUUGGAAGAUAUUUCGGUAAAACGAAUGAAUAUCCUGGUUGAUUAUGUCGUUGCCUUGACAAUAAAAAAUGACAAGAGACUGAUGUAGUAGACAAAUUCCGCUAAAAUGAGAGUAGGCAAGGUUUCUCGGAUUCAAAUACAAUGAUUUCUUUAACAUUUGUUAUAUCCUCGCAUUAAUGUAUUUUUCGUUUUCCUACAAUGUUGAUAUAAUAAUACUACAAUGAACAAAAUUUCAAAAGUAUAAUUUUUCGAUCGGUACUCCUGUAUUUUCGACCAGUCGCGGGGAGACACGAUCGCGAGGAAGCGCGCCAACGGGAGUAGUAAAUUCCCGGUACGAUUAUAAGAAUCGACACCACGAACAGAUCGAUCCCCUUAUUUCUUGUGGGAUAAUGGGGGUAAUUAAUUUGUAAUAACACUGUGAUUAACAGGUUAUAAACUAUAUAUUUUCAACAACUUAAUACACUAUAUUUACUCCGUUGCUUAUAAUACAAAUCUCAUAGAUGAUUCGUUGAUGUGUGCAAGACCGAUAGAGUUGUAUUGAAUGUUCGUAUGAGCAAGGCUCUGACAAUUGAAGAUAUGAAUGUCGUAGAAGCACUAGAACUCUUCUGAUGUUCUUUACGGGGUGAAUGAGUUUUAACUGUAGUGAUUGCUCUCUCUCGUGUUGAGAGCAAGUCAUGUGUUAACUGUACGAGUAUCAUAAAAACAGUGAAGUGCGUUCUCGUAGCAUUACGGAAGAAAGCUCAGUGUGGGUGUUCUUUUUGAACUAAGGACGCCGAUUCGUUGUUCACACUUUUUGUUAGGAAAGGGAGGGUAACGAUCUGCGAAUGGUUAUAGCCAAAGUUAAUAACUGAAGAUAAGAGGAAGAAGCCUCCUACCAACGUGGCUCGUGGGUGACCUUGUUCACCGUAAUUAGUACGAACGCCUAAUAAACCUAAGGACUGUUCCAGAGACCAUCCAUAAACCGAUAACACUUACAGGAACAACGAUUCCUUCAAGGUUGAUAGGAGUUAGUUAUGAAUACCAAGACAAAAGGCAAAUUAAAAGCCUAAGUUUAUGGUGAGUCUUUAGGUUUAUUGGGGAUCUGAAUAGCGGUGCAGACCCUUGGCGGCCAGGCAACUAGAGACGUCGCGCGGACCGUUCACGCGACGUAACAGCUCCUUUCAUAACGAGUACUCCUUUUAUAUCAUUUUAAUUUAUCUUCUUCAGUCUUUGAACUUUCAUUUUCUUUGAAAAUGUAUUUAAACUUUAAAGGAAUAUUCUGAUUAAUAUUUCUCUUUUUUUGUUUCGUUUUCUCAAACAUUAACAUUUAGAAAAGUCAUUUUUAACGUUCGUAAAAUAUUAACGCCAAGAAAUAGUCAUUAACUACGAUCAAGGUGAAGAUGACAAUUGCUAAUCAAGAAUUACAUAAGUAUCUACUAUCAUUAAUUAUUAUUAACUGUACAAUACAAUUGUCAAUUAUUAACAUUAUCCGCAUACUUGUUGAGUAUCGAUUCUAUUAUGUAUAAAAUAUUUUUUAAAAUAUUUUCUUAUAGCCAGCAGUGUUUAACAGUUACCGUAAUGACACUAUUACAUUUGCAUUUCAUUAAAAACAGGUUAGUACCGGUUUCGAUUAUUCGAUUUGUUCUUUUUUACGCAAUCACUUUUUAAUUUAUUAUUUAGUAAGAUCAAAUCCACAGCACCUGAGAACUGCUUCUCCAACGCUUCGAUGCAAUUCAUACAAUAGAAUAAUAUAUUCUAAUAUCUUUAAACUGUUCUAAUUUCAUACUAUCCACUUUUAAGGAUAUAUUACAAUAUAUUUUUAUUAGUACAUGUUCUUUAUAAAACAUGAAAUUCAAGAAUAAGAUAGUAUAACGUGACAAUAGAAAUUAUUGCAAGUCAAUGUGUGUAUUUUCGCACGUUCGCGGGGAGACGCGAUCUCGAAGAAGCGCGCCAACGGGAGUCGUAAAUUCCCGUUACGAUUGACCAAUCGACGCCACGAAUCGUACGAUCCCUUAUUUCUUAUGGGAUAAUAAGGGUGAUUAAUUGAAAUAACACUGCGGUUGACAGGUUACAAUAUAUUUAAUCGAUCCAACAACUUCGGUGAUACAAUGGUGAAUGCUUGUAUGAACAACGACGUGUGAGUACGGCCUGAGACUCUUUUAGUAUCGUUGCGUUGACUGAAUGUAUUCAACCGAACACUGGAUGAUGACUUGACCGAGAGAGACGUGGUGAUGACUGCUUGACCACUUGCUCGAUGAGUGCUGAACUGGAACUCCCGAGAAUUGUACUGGACUCGGAAUUGGAGAGAAUGAGAAACUGAACUCGACUCAAACAGAGACUGGAUUGAGACUUGGAGAGAGUGAGAAGGAGACUUGGAAUCAGAAUCAAACAGAGACUGAACUGAGACUGAGCUGGGAUCAGAAGGAGACUUGAAUGAGAGUUAGAAUCCGACUAGAACGAGACUGCUGAGCUGCCCUUAAGGUGUCUCGAAGGAAAGCUUGGUGUGGGUUUCACGAAAUGAUAACGAUACGCGAAGUAUCUGAAGUACGUGCGGGGAAUAUUCUACACUUAUAUAGUAUAGUUAAUAUGAAUGAAAUAAAUGUUGGACAUUUAAGUAUACAACAUAGACUUAUUGCAAGUAACAUUAUACUGUAUGAUACUGGUUUUCACAUGGUGGGGACAUAGGAUUCAUUUGCUGACUCUUGUUUAAGCACCAGUAUGCUUUCGUUCUGUUUACAGAAUAGCUCGUAGAAGUUCAGGUGUCAAUAGAAAUCUUGGGAAAAAAAUUAUAAUUCAAUAAUGAUUGUUUUUAAACUCUUUCUUUUCCUGAGUGUUAUCUGCUUAACUUUAGAAUUGCCUACACAAGUUGAAAACGUUGAGACAAGUAAUGAUGAAGAUAAUAAGGAUAUUGAAAGUGAUACCCUUCGACUAGUAACAGUGGUAAUGAGGCAUGGAGACAGAGCACCACAAGACACUUAUCCAAAUGAUCCUUAUAUCAAUAAUUCCAUGGAGCCUUAUGGUUGGGGUCAAUUAACAAAUGAAGGAAGAAGAAAUCAGUACAAUCAAGGUGCCUUCUUAAGGAAACAGUACAAUAAUUUUUUGGGUCCAGCUUAUAGCCCUAACAUAUUUUACUUGCAAUCCACUGCUGUUGACCGUACAAAAAUGUCUGCCAUGUUAGAAGCAGCAGCUUUGUGGAAACCAACUGAGGAACAGUCUUUUAAACGUGAUUUAGCUUGGCAACCUGUUACCUUAUUUUACCAACCACGUUCGGAAGAUAGGUUAAUGUUAAUAUGGGAUACAUGUCCAAAAUAUACUAAAUUACGACAUGCAAUUACGAACUUGACAGAAGUUCAACGAAUUCAAGACGAAAAUAAACAACUCUACGAAGAAUUGACGAAUUUAACGGGUAUGGUGAUUUCAACUCCCGGUGAUGUGAGUUCACUUUACGGAACUUUAACAGCAGAGAAACAUAUGAACUUGACUCUUCCCGAGUGGACUAAAGAUUAUUAUCCUGAUAAACUAAUACCGCUUACGUUAUACGAUUUUCAACUUAAUGUGUAUAAUGAUGAUCUUAAGAAACUUAAAGGAGGACCUUUUCUAAAAAAGAUUGUUAACGAUAUGUUAGCGAAAAAAGAUAAUAUUUUGGAACCUGAAGAAAGAAAAAUGUUUAUGUAUGUUGGUCAUGACAGUACUAUUGUAACUUUAAUGGAUCUUAUGCAUGUAUGGAACAAUCAAAUGCCACAUUAUAAUAUUAUGGUAAUGAUUGAGUUGCAUGAAAAAAACGGUGGAUGGAAUGUUCAGAUGUUUUUAAAAAAUAGCACUGAACAUAAACCAUAUCUUCUGAAUGUUCCUGGAUGUACAACAGUAUGUCCUCUUGAAAAGUUAGUACAGAUUUUAAAACCAAUGAUUCCAGAUAAUUGGGAUGAAGAGUGUAAAGUCGAUGGAGACUAUACUCCUCCAUCUGCCCCGCUUCCUUGACUAUAGUUAUUUGGUUUAUGUUGAGCAUCUGGAUGAUUUAGUAAUUCAGGUGGACAAGUAGAUAUAGGACUUGCAAGAAUAGUUUGCUUCAGAUCAUAGAACAGAUGACUAUCGUCUUUGGUACAGAAUGAAAUGGCAAGACCAGCUUUUCCAGCACGUCCAGUUCUACCAAUACGAUGCGUGUAGUCUACAAACACGUGAAAAAGAAGCAAGUGCAUACUCUCUUUGUUCUUGUCCUUUACCACCAUGAAGAGUGCAAGCAUUAUACUGAAAAAUGAAAUAAAAUAUUACACCAAA